rnacentral:rRNA from 1 species
GACGAACGCUGGCGGCGUGCUUAACACAUGCAAGUCGAACGGAAAGGCCUCUUUCGGGGGGUACUCGAGUGGCGAACGGGUGAGUAACACGUGAGUAACCUGCCCUUGACUUUGGGAUAACUUCAGGAAACUGGGGCUAAUACCGGAUAGGAGCUCCUGCUGCAUGGUGGGGGUUGGAAAGUUUCGGCGGUUGGGGAUGGACUCGCGGCUUAUCAGCUUGUUGGUGGGGUAGUGGCUUACCAAGGCUUUGACGGGUAGCCGGCCUGAGAGGGUGACCGGCCACAUUGGGACUGAGAGACGGCCCAGACUCCUACGGGAGGCAGCAGUGGGGAAUAUUGCACAAGGGGUGGAAGCCUGAUGCAGCAACGCCGUGUGCGGGAUGACGGCCUUCGGGUUGUAAACCGCUUUCGCUCAUGACGAAGCUUUGUGUGACGGUAGUGGGUAAAGAAGCACCGGCUAACUGCGUG